rfam:Helianthus annuus linkage group 2, whole genome shotgun sequence.
GAAGCAAGGAUAGUGUGUAUCGGCUUAGUGUUAAAUUGGUGCACUUUGCUCGAAAGAUUUUCUUGCAAUAAAUAAGUGGACGGUGGGCAGUUGUGUUCCAUUUUUUUCUAUUGGAAUCUUCAACAAUCAUCUUCCCUAUAUCU